rnacentral:sRNA from 1 species
UUAAAUGAUGCUUAGUUGACUUAACACCU